rnacentral:lncRNA from 1 species
GGCUCUUGGGCUUGGGCCGCGGACAUAUUGGGAUCUUUUAAAGCUAACCCAAUUGGAAAAGAAAACCCAUCCAGCCCAUUUCAUUGAAAUUAAGCACACUAAGCCCAUACCGCAAAUGCUCAGCCCAAGCAUGUUUAAAGAUAAAACCAGCCCGAAUUUACCAAUUCCAGCUCAUUAAACCAAUUUAAGAUCAAAGCCCAUUAAGCCUAAUUAAAACU